GAUCUUAUAGUUAAAGGGUUAUAACACUAUCUCUUCAUGUUAGUAGUAUGGGUUCGAAUCCCAUUAAGAUUA
rfam:Wickerhamomyces ciferrii, NRRL Y-1031 F-60-10, WGS project CAIF01000000 data, contig: 00312